UACGUAGGGUGCAAGCGUUGUCCGGAAUUAUUGGGCGUAAAGAGCUCGUAGGCGGUCUGUCGCGUCGGCUGUGAAAACCCGGAGCUCAACUCCGGGCCUGCAGUCGAUACGGGCAGACUGGAGUUCGGCAGGGGAGGCUGGAAUUCCUGGUGUAGCGGUGAAAUGCGCAGAUAUCAGGAGGAACACCGGUGGCGAAGGCGGUGGGCUGGGCCGGCACUGACGCUGAGGAGCGAAAGCGUGGGGAGCGAACAGG
rnacentral:rRNA from 1 species